CGCUGUAAACGAUGUCGACUUGGAGGUUGUGCCCUUGAGGCGUGGCUUCCGGAGCUAACGCGUUAAGUCGACCGCCUGGGGAGUACGGCCGCAAGGUUAAAACUCAAAUGAAUUGACGGGGGCCCGCACAAGCGGUGGAGCAUGUGGUUUAAUUCGAUGCAACGCGAAGAACCUUACCUACUCUUGACAUCCACAGAAUUCGGCAGAGAUGCCUUAGUGCCUUCGGGAACUGUGAGACAGGUGCUGCAUGGCUGUCGUCAGCUCGUGUUGUGAAAUGUUGGGUUAAGUCCCGCAACGAGCGCAACCCUUAUCCUUUGUUGCCAGCACGUAAUGGUGGGAACUCAAAGGAGACUGCCGGUGAUAAACCGGAGGAAGGUGGGGAUGACGUCAAGUCAUCAUGGCCCUUACGAGUAGGGCUACACACGUGCUACAAUGGCGUAUACAAAGAGAAGCGAACUCGCGAGAGCCAGCGGACCUCAUAAAGUACGUCGUAGUCCGGAUCGGAGUCUGCAACUCGACUCCGUGAAGUCGGAAUCGCUAGUAAUCGUAGAUCAGAAUGCUACGGUGAAUACGUUCCCGGGCCUUGUACACACCGCCCGUCACACCAUGGGAGUGGGUUGCAAAAGAAGUAGGUAGCUUAACCUUC
rnacentral:rRNA from 1 species